rnacentral:rRNA from 1 species
GUAGGUGGCAAGCGUUGUCCGGAAUUAUGGGCGUAAAGCGCGCGCAGGCGGGGUCUUUAAGUCUGAUGUGUAAAGCCCACGGGCUCAACCGUGGACGGGUCAUUGGAAAACUGGAGAAACUUGAGUACAGAAGAGGAAAGCGGAAUUCCACGUGUAGCGGUGAAAUGCGUAGAGAUGUGGAGGAACACCAGUGGCGAAGGCGGCUUUCUGGUCUGUAACUGACGCUGAGGCGCGAAAGCGUGGGGAGCAAACAGGAUUAGAUACCCUGGUAGUCCACGCCGUAAACGAUGAGUGCUAAGUGUUAGGGGGUUUCCGCCCCUUAGUGCUGCAGCUAACGCAUUAAGCACUCCGCCUGGGGAGUACGGCCACAAGGCUG